UUUGACUUUGAAUUUACUAGGUCUAUGUAGUCAUUGAAUAUUGCUUCUCCGAUUCUGCUAUUGCUGUGUGGUGAUGAAGACCUGGGCGAUGGCGCUGGCGACUUAGCCUUCCAUGGAGCAGAUUUACGACCAAAAAUACCUUCUACGCAAUCGUGGUGCGAGUUUAAGGGAAAAAGGAAGGAUUUAGUGGAUUAUCAUGAAAAUAAUAACACAUUUUAGGUUAUGUUCUGCAUUAUUUGUUCAACUGUGGUCAUAAACUGAUAUACCUAAACUCAUCCUAAACUUGAUUUUGACUGAAGAUCUUACCUGUAUGAAGUCCAUAUUUUAAUAAGUCUACACAUGUGAAGGGUUCCGAGCUUCUUUUCGACCGUUUACUGGCUCGAAAAUUUUACAGCGUGAGACGUAUCCCAUAGUUUUCGAAGUUUUUUUUAUACCCGAAUACGCUACAUUGUUGUAUAUUUUCACAAACGAAUGCUUACAUAAUGAAAGAAUUAAUAAAGUACUCUAAAAUCAA